UUGUCCACACAUAAGCAAUCUUUUCUUGCUUUAUUUUGCUUUUUAUCCUCCUAUGGUUAAUCUGCUUUGGUAACAACAUAACACAAUUUCUGAAUGAGUUACGCUGCUAUAAAGUUCAUGCGGAUACAUCCCCAUUUGAACUGUACUACUUCAGGUAAUCAUCCCACUGAUAUUCCACACUGCACUGCUUCACAUUGGACUGGUCUGUCUGGUUACCUGUGCAUUCUCCAAUGCACUGGGGUCAUCUUGAUUAGCUAUCCACCCAUGGUUUCAUUGCUGACACACCCCAAGCCCAUCUGAAAGGAGCAAAUUCAAUUUAAUCUUUCCAGCUGUCACUGAAAUGCAAAGAUUUAUAAGUGGCUAGCAGAUCAAAAACAGGAAAAGGAGCACUCUCAGGACACAUACCAGUGCUACACCAAAGCACUGCAGCAGAAUUACAAAAACACCAAAGACAAAAUCAAAAUCCCAGUGCACACGUGUACUAUGAAGAGCUGAAUCCGAUUUUUGCCACAGAGGCCACCACUAAACCCCAGUAUACGUUGGAUAGUUUGGUCACAAUCUGCAGCGAGCCAGGCAUGCCUUCAGAAACCCCACAGGAAGCCUUGUCCCCCCAAGCAGGAGAAAAUUCCUUUAGACAACCAAGAUUUCUUCAGCACUCCUUCCAGCCAGCCAGAGACUCAGUCAGAGACGCCUCCCCAGUGCCAAUACUGCAGAGGGGACCUUAUCCACAACUGGCAUAGUAUGGCCCACAUAGAGAGGAGCGUUAUCAGUAUCUCAAUGCCUGGCCAACCUCCAAGGGAAGAGAAAGAGGAUGAGGGAAGAGAUGUUUGCUGACCUCAUGAAUGGGUCCCAGCAGAAAUCAAAACACUCAAAGGAUUGGAGGCGAGUGUACACUUCCAUGACAGCAACUCCAAGAGUUGAUUUACCAACACCAAAGUGGUUAGUUACUGACCAGUAGCAAUUGGAUAAGGCAGUUUUCCAAAUGGCAAUGGCCACAUACUUCUCCACGCUGAGAGGAACUGUCAUAUUAGUGAUUUGGCACUGGAGAUCUGGGGUAAGUUCUGUGUAGAUUCCAGGGAACUGGCCUUCCACUUCCACUGCUGGUUAUACCAGGACUGCAGUCAGUGCUGGCUGGCUAGGCCCAGAGACAGUGCUCCACAGAGUGAAGCCAGUCCAGUAAAAUGUCAUGCAGAAGUAACUGCUUGGUUUCAUUCUCCUCCUCCUCCUCUAGCAGUAUCCAUGUGAAGUCUUAGUGGUUAUAGUGAUGGCAUUCUUCCUUCUCCUCAAAAGCCACCUGCCUGCAUGAUUAACAGUACCUCUCGUAUUCUGUUUGUAUUAAUCAGUGCCUACUUCAUGGUGUUCCAUGCUGCCUGAUAGCAGUUUGAAAAUUUGUUUGCAACUGAAACAGUUGAAAAUGACUAGCUAGUGAAAACAAGACCGAUUUUGGGAUACUGUGGAAGGAAUCAUGGGAAUUUGACACUAAGUCCCAGAAGCUCAGUAGAUAUCCCACAAUCCAACAUGAUAAGCAAGCCAUACUGCAUUGAGUAUAGAACAGUGCAUCCUGGGAUACCUGCCCAGAAUGGUGUUCACUUUUUUCAAAAAAGCGUGAUACUGUGUGGAUGCUACAAUUCACAAAGGAAGUAGCUUAAACCACUUCACACAAAGCAGUGUUGAUGCACUCUUUUAGUUUAGUUAUAACUAUAAUUAUAGUGAAGAAAACUAUGUUGAAAAAGUGUUCCCUGUAGACAGGGCCUAAGGGCCCAAUCCUGUGGGUUUUUGAGUGCCUCUUGAAAAGCACCUAAGACCCUUAGAGUAGAACACAUUUUGCAGAGCUUCCAAAGGACAAUGGCUAUUUUGGGGUUGAUAGGGUUAGUAUACUUUCGAUCAUCCAGAAGUUCAUAAUAUCCCUGAUUCUCCAUUGCCUUGUACCUUAUGUGGUCAUUUAUAUGCAUGCAAAGUGAAGGUCUUAUAGAUAUAUAAUACUAUCAAUUCAGAAUUACCAAUUCUAAAUUUAUAUCUCCUUUUCACUCAUACACUUUACAUAUUAUAAAUGACCACACGAAGUGCAAGGCAGCAGAUAAUCUGGUCCAGUGUAUUUUAUCUUGACAUCACAGUGUAUGUGCAAAAUUGUCAAAUUUUGUUCCUCAGCUAUAUUUUAGUAUGUGCAUGGAUGGGGAAAUUUAUUUCAGACUCCAAAAUGUGUGUGGGAGGAGUGGGGAAAGAGGGGUUCCCAAAAGCAGAAAUGCGAGAAAAUUGACAGUUAAUGUUCCUGUCACAUCAGGGCACAAGGAGGAAUCCCUUCAUUUUCUGACUAAUAUCUAUGGUAAAAUUGUAGAAAUCUUGGCUGUGAGUUUUCUCACUUUUGUGGUCUUGUGUUAUUUCACUGUAGGUUGUGGGUUUUUUGGGUAAAAUACACAAACCAAAUGUUUCUAUUCCCCCCUAGCUCUUCUGAACCCCAGUCUGUGACUCACACAGCAGUCCCAUGUGCCCCAUGGUGUCCGUCCCCCCAUAUUCCGUGCCUCCUGACCUGGCCCCACAUGGAGGGUGCUGUGAGGAACACAACCUCUUCUCUUCCCUAUUUGCAGCUGGGGCUGCCCCCCACCCCCCGGAACAGCUGCUCUUUGUUCUGGUGCCACAGUGGCCCCUGAUGGGCAAAAGGCAUAAUUGCAGCACCUUUCUGCAGGGAAAAAAUUUUUGCAUAGCACAUAAAUUCUGUGUGGGUGCAGUAUUCUCCCAGAAGUAACUAUUAGGCACCUAACAAGGGGAGUAUAAAAUGAAACCUUGAUAGCUUUCACACUUCUUACAUUUCCCAGAGUACAACAGUGAUCCCAAACUGGCUGGCCCUACCUCUCUGAUUCAUCUCCGAGAAAUAAUAUAUUUUGGGAUUGUGGAAAUGGCUUCAUUUGAGGAAUGAACUCACAAUUGCUAAGUACUCUCAUAGCCAUACCUAUUUAUUGUAAUAAACCAAUUAUAGCUAGGGGAGAAUCCCACUUUGAUAGUGCAACUUUGCACACACGUUUUUGCACUUUUGUGUGCUGUGAGUGGUGAUUUUGGUCCAUAAUAUUUAAACGUUUUUGUUACCAUAAAUCUUGUGGCUACACUGGAUCCCUUCAAAACAUGUAAGAUAAUUUUUGAAGUCUGUACUUUCCAGAACACAGAAUCCUAUCUACUCUUUCUGGUAGUCAUAUAUUUAAUCUCUGCUAACAGCAAUAAUAAAUGCUUAAUGUAAAAUAAAAUUCACUGUUUUAAAUGUUUGA